UUCCUUUUGCUGUCCGAUGGGGAAACCCCAAGAAACUGGACAAAGCUGGCCAUCGGAGAGUGAAGAAAUGCCGUGUAACGUAUGUUUUAAUGGCACGGGUUGCUAAAAUUAGAGAUUAGCGGGAAAGGCGGAUCACCGGCUUUCAUAAAACAGUCACUAAUGUGACGCCUAUGGGCAGUUUUCACUCCACCCAGAAAAUGCAAAGUCGGAGAAAACUUUCUUCCUCCUUUGAACUCUUCUGCCCAGAGUUGUGUAGUUGUGCGAGCAACGCAGCUAUAACACAUCUUAUCUGUUUAGAAGAAAAAAGUGUGCGAUAUAUCUCGCGCGGGAGAAAGCAGAAGAAGAAGUUGGCGAAAGCGUGAAGGCAAUCGACAUGCCAGGGCGAAUCUAAGUUUUUCGUGUAACUUUCACAAGCUGUCCUGCAUCAUGAGGCGACCACAGUCAGUCGAAACGGUGUCUUUAAAGACACUUCUCGUUAUGCUCGUAUUUUUGAAGGUCUCAAAGGAGGUGCUAGGCUGCACUGGAUGUACAUUUAAUAAAACAAUAUCAACAUCUGAAAUAAUCAUAUCUGGGGCAAGCAAGUGUACAGUGAGCUCUUCGGUGGUACUCCAAAAUACUCCAAAUGGCAAUGACCUCCAUGUGUCAGGACUAGUGCCUGGAAGAUCAUACAACUUAACGUUGAUGUGUUCUACCGAAUGCUGCAUACAGUUUACAACAAAACCUGAUGUCAUCAGUGGUCUCACCUUCUCUCAAAUCAACACGUCAUCUAUGCGUCUGAGCUGGACUGCACCUCAAGGAAAUAGCUCAUUUUAUAGAGUAGGGUGGAAUAACAGCGCUGUAUCUAUGAAUAAAACCACCAGUGAAACGUCUUUGAUCAUAACCGAUCUGACCGCUGGAGCUCAGUACACCUUUUAUAUUGUUGCGGUCGCUGAAGACACGCUUUCUGAGGGAGGCUCUGUCAAUGAGACGCAGUACACAAGUAAGUGUUCCACCGUCAUAACAAUUAUAGCCUGUUGAAAAUAUCAAUCACUCUUAUUUCUCUACAGUAUUGUUCCAGUUGUACUAGUUGUAGUCAAGAGAGCAUCAUCGUCUUAUCUGUUAUUUAGGAAAGUCUUUCAUCUUCCUGUUCCCAACCUACAUGUUGUUUGUCUAUUUGUAUAGUACAUUUUGUCUGUUAUGGUCAAUACUGAAAAAAUGUCCCCACAAACUGGUGAAUUUUUUAUCUUGCAUUGCUGUGAAACUAUUUAACAUUCAUUACAAGCAUUUUGGUGAAAUUACUUGAUUGACUGUGAGGAUUGUGACAAUUAUGUUGGGAAUGACUUUGCUUUGAUCAUAGCUCACAUUAGCCAUUGUGGCACACUCUGGUGAAGCAAAGUUACUGAUGAGAGUCAGUACACCAUGGUUCUAGUAACACUCUAGUCACUUUAUCACAGAUGCUAUAGACCAAAAGAAUACUCAACUCCAUAUUUUUAGCAUUGCAAUUUCUGUCUACCAACUGUUAAAACCAGGAUGUUUCAACAUGAUGUUACAUUAUAUCAUGAGCAUUUAGUCAACACUCUUAUCUGGAGUGACUUUUUAAGACAACCUUUACUCUUGUUUCACAUAGUAUACAUUUAUCCAGUAGGAUAUACUGAGGCAAUUCAGGUGAAGUGCCUUUCUCAAAGGUACAAUGGCAGUGUCCUACCUGGGAAGUAAAUCUGCGACCGUUGGGUUGCAAGCCCAGUUCCCUAACCGCUACACCACGCUGCUGCUUCAGUGUGUGGAGUUAACAUUCACUGCGGGCUAUGCAGUCCUGUGCUAUCAUAUAGGAC